rnacentral:rRNA from 1 species
UAGGGAAUAUUGGUCAAUGGGCGGGAGCCUGAACCAGCCAUGCCGCGUGCAGGAAGACGGCCUUCUGGGUUGUAAACUGCUUUUACACGGGAAGAAAACGCCCAUGCGUGGGUAACUGACGGUACCGUGGGAAUAAGCACCGGCUAACUCCGUG